rnacentral:misc_RNA from 1 species
GGCCGAGCAGUCCGCCGGCGUGCUCAAGGCGCUGGGCGAGGCCGCGAAGCCGGCCCUGCCUGCGCUGAAGAGCGCCGGCGAGCAGGCGCUGAAGCUCGCCUCGCCGGUGGUCUCCGGCGCCUCCAAGCAAGCCACGGAGGCGCUCCAGGGCGCCGGCGUCGACCCCGCCCCCGUUCUGUCCGCCGCUAAGACCGUCGCGGACGCGGCGCAGCAGGGCACGAAGGUCAUCGACGCCGCGAAGCCCAUCGCGUCGGCGACGGUGGAGACCAUCGGGUCGCUGGGCUCCGCGGACUACGUCGUGGUCGCCGGAGCGGCGUUCCUCGCGUACCUGCUCCUGCCGCCGGCAUGGUCCCUGCUUUCUUUCACUCUCCGCGGCUACAAAGGUGACCUGACCGCUGCACA